AUUGAACGCUGGCGGCAGGCUUAACACAUGCAAGUCGAGCGGAGAUGAGGUGCUUGCACCUUAUCUUAGCGGCGGACGGGUGAGUAAUGCUUAGGAAUCUGCCUAUUAGUGGGGGACAACAUUCCGAAAGGAAUGCUAAUACCGCAUACGCCCUACGGGGGAAAGCAGGGGAUCUUCGGACCUUGCGCUAAUAGAUGAGCCUAAGUCGGAUUAGCUAGUUGGUGGGGUAAAGGCCUACCAAGGCGACGAUCUGUAGCGGGUCUGAGAGGAUGAUCCGCCACACUGGGACUGAGACACGGCCCAGACUCCUACGGGAGGCAGCAGUGGGGAAUAUUGGACAAUGGGCGGAAGCCUGAUCCAGCCAUGCCGGGUGUGUGAAGAAGGCCUUAUGGUUGUAAAGCACUUUAAGCGAGGAGGAGGCUACUUUAGUUAAUACCUAGAGAUAGUGGACGUUACUCGCAGAAUAAGCACCGGCUAACUCUGUGCCAGCCGCCGCAGUAACAC
rnacentral:rRNA from 1 species